rnacentral:rRNA from 1 species
CGCCUUUUGAGGGAAUAGAAGGUCUAACCUGCCCACUGAAUAAUUUAAAGGGCCGCGGUAUUUUGACCGUGCAAAGGUAGCAUAAUCAUUAGUCUUCUAAUUAAAGGCUGGAAUGAAUGGUUGGACGAGGUAUUAGCUGUCUCACUAGUAAUAUUGGAAUUUAGCUUUUUAGUCAAAAGGCUAAGAUGUGGUUGGAGGACGAGAAGACCCUAUAGAGCUUUAUAUUAAAACUGUUUACCUUAUUUGGUAGGGGUUUGGGUUUGCAUGGUAAAUAUUUCGUUGGGGUGACGGGGAGAUAAAUGAAACUCUUUCUAAAAUUUAACACGGAUGAGUGGGUAUUUGAUCCAUAAGUAAUGAUUAGAAGACUAAGUUACCUUAGGGAUAACAGCGUAAUCUUUUUUGAGAGUUCUAAUCGACAAGAAGGGUUGCGACCUCGAUGUUGGACUAAAGGUUAUUCUUGGGUGUAGCAGCUCAAGGUUUAGGUCUGUUCGACCUUUGAAUCUUUACAU